CGGGGUGUGGGCCAGCGGCUAGGCUACUUCCUUCGGAGCGAAGACAUCGCGGGUUCGAGUCCCGCCUCCCCGACCA
rnacentral:tRNA from 1 species